AGUGGCAAACGGCUGAGUAACGCGUAGGAACCUACCCCAAACUCGAGUAUAGCCCCGCGAAAGCGGGGGUAAUCCUCGAUAGUCCGUGAAGUAUUUUACUUCACGGUAAAGCUUUUGCGGUUUGGGAUGGGCCUGCGUCCUAUCAGGUAGUUGGUGAGGUAAAUGCUCACCAAGCCUAUGACGGGUAGCUGGUCUGAGAGGAUGGUCAGCCAGACUGGGACUGCGACACGGCCCAGACUCCUACGGGAGGCAGCAACUAGGAAUUGUGCGCAAUGGACGAAAGUCUGACGCCGCGACAUCGCGUGGAGGAUGAAGGUCUUCGGAUUGUAAACUCCUUUUCUUACCGAACAAGUUCUGAGUGUAGGUAAGGAAUAAGUGCCUGCUAACCACGUGCCAGAAGCAUCGGUAAUACGUGGGGCACGAGCGUUAUCCGGAUUUACUGGGCGUAAAGAGAAGCGUAGGCGGCUCGAUAAGUUUGGUGUUAAAUCUUCCGGCUCAGCCGGAAACAAGCACCGAAAACUAUCGAGAUUGAGUCGAGUAGGGAAGAGGGGAAUUCCUGGUGGAGCGGUUAAAUGCGUAGAUAUCAGGAGGAAUACCAAGGGCGAAGGCACCUCUUUGGACUCGUACUGACGCUGAGGCUCGAAAGCGUGGGUAGCAAAACGGAUUAGAUACCCGUGUAGUCCGCGCCGUAAACGAUCCCUGUUAGAUGUAUGUUUUGUC
rnacentral:rRNA from 1 species